rnacentral:rRNA from 1 species
UACGGAGGGGGCUAGCGUUGUUCGGAAUCACUGGGCGUAAAGCGCGCGUAGGCGGAUCGGCAAGUUGGGGGUGAAAUCCCGGGGCUCAACCCUGGAAUUGCCUUCAAAACUCCCGGUCUUGAGUUCGAGAGAGGUGAGUGGAAUUCCGAGUGUAGAGGUGAAAUUCGUAGAUAUUCGGAGGAACACCAGUGGCGAAGGCGGCUCACUGGCUCGAUACUGACGCUGAGGUGCGAAGGCGUGGGGAGCAAACAGG